GAUACAGCCCUGGAUGCAGAGAACCAGAGACUUGAGGUUAAGACCUAGCUCUGGCACCAACUUCAACAAAUCACGUCAUCUAUCUCCACCUAUCUCCUUCACUGUGAAAUGAGAGGAUUGGACUAAAUGAUAUCUAAAUCUCCCCUGGCCUCCAUUGUUUCUGCUUCGUGGAUCCAUUUUAUGGAUUGAGAAAUCAAAGGCUAUUGACGAAAACGUUUGCAAUGUGCAGAUUCACUUGGAACACAGAAAGACUCAGAGAGCUGGCUCGACUCCCAGUGGCAACAGCUGGAGAGGAGGCAAGGAACCCUGGAACUGCCACCUGAUAGGCUGUCUUCCUAGCUCCUCUCGCACUGGCAAUCCUUUCAUCACACAGGCCUUGUUUUGAAAGGACCUAUCCCACCCACAGUGGUUUCUCACCUCUAGGAGGCCAAAAAGCUGUAGUCAAUUGCUGUGGCAUCAGGAACUCCAGUUCUUCUCAGAGGUGUUGUGAAGAGCUUCCCUUCCAACAGUACAUGGCCUAAAUACCAGGGAGGAAGUAUCUGACUCUUCCCAUCUUCAGUGAAACAGAACAACUGUUGUGGAUGCAGUGGCUUUGCAAGGAGAGUGGCAUUGUCUCUUGGUGAAUGUAGUUGUUCAGGGCAUGGGGAGGAGACAGGUUUAGUUUUGAUGCAUAUAUUUUCACUAUUAGUUCUCAAUAGUGAAAAUCUUAAUUCACAGAUGAGCCAAGAUAGGAGGGCAUAUUCCCAACAUAAAUGAGACACGAAGACAGUUUAGGUAAAAAGUGAAAUCAGCUUUAUUGUGAAACUAUAAUCAAAGAAGAACUGGCUAUUGGUGCUACCACCUGGAUUCAAGAAGGUGGACAAAAUGACCUCAAAAUCAACCCACAAGUACUUACCGAGCAUCCACAGUUUGUCAGGUACUCUCUAUUGUAAGUCUGUUUCCUCUAGAGCUGUGCUGUUACUCUAGAGCAGGGGUCAGCAAACUAUGGCCCUUGGGCCAAAUCUAGCCACCUGCUUUAGUCAAUAAAGUUUUAUUAGAAUGUAGCCAUGCCCAUUCAUUUACCUAUUGUCUGUGCCUGCCUUCAUACUACACUGGCAAAGGUCAGUAGAGUCAUGAAUCACGAUGGGGAUAAAGUUUGAGAAAUGUUAGGCAAUUUCCUCAUUGUGUGAACAUCAGAAAGUGUACUUACACAAACCUAGAUAUAUAGCCUACUGUACACCUAGGCUGUAUGGUAUAGCCUAUUGCUCCUACACAGCAUGUUACUG
rnacentral:lncRNA from 1 species